GAUGAACGCUAGCGGCAGGCUUAACACAUGCAAGUCGAGGGGCAGCGCGAUGUAGCAAUACAUUGGCGGCGACCGGCGCACGGGUGCGUAACACGUAUGGAACCUGCCCUGUACUGGGAAAUAACCCGGAGAAAUUCGGACUAAUAUCCCAUAUCGAACGAGGUGGCAUCACCUUGUUCUGAAAGCUCCGGCGGUACAGGAUGGCCAUGCGCACGAUUAGCUAGUUGGUGAGGUAACGGCUCACCAAGGCUACGAUCGUUAGGGGGCCUGAGAGGGUUAUCCCCCACACUGGUACUGAGACACGGACCAGACUCCUACGGGAGGCAGCAGUGAGGAAUAUUGCGCAAUGGAGGCAACUCUGACGCAGCCAUGCCGCGUGCAGGAAGAAGGCGCUACGCGUUGUAAACUGCUUUUAUCCGGGAAGAAACCCCUCUACGUGUGGAGGGUUGACGGUACCGGAGGAAUAAGCACCGGCUAACUUCGUG
rnacentral:rRNA from 1 species